GCUGGUCCUCGGUGGUGGUAUCCGGAUGCGCGCAUCGCGCAACCGUGUAUUUCUACUGAUGGCCAGA
rfam:Leifsonia sp. Root227 contig_2, whole genome shotgun sequence.